rnacentral:rRNA from 1 species
UACGUAGGGCGCAAGCGUUAUCCGGAAUUAUUGGGCGUAAAGAGCUCGUAGGCGGUUUGUCGCGUCUGCCGUGAAAGUCCGGGGCUCAACUCCGGAUCUGCGGUGGGUACGGGCAGACUAGAGUGAUGUAGGGGAGACUGGAAUUCCUGGUGUAGUGGUGAAAUGCGUAGAGAUCGGCAGGAACACCCAGGGGGAAACCAGUCGACUGGGCAGCACCUGACGCUGAGGUGCGAGAGCGUGGGGAGCGAACCGGAUUGAGAGUACCC